ACGCAAUCCAAUAUUCAUGACAGGAAAUAUUCACAUGAUCUCCAGCCUCAGUUUAGAACGUACCAGCAUGGAUCAGGUUGGAUCCCAUCGCAUCAGCCGCUGCAACAGAAGACAACCGAAAAUAAAGUAAUUCUUGGUCAACAAAAGGAAAUACCCUCUUCAUUUCCGUACGCAAAUGAUGAUGAUCCGACGUCAUUUUUUGAUCUGAGCCACGAUCUGACAGCAAAAAAUAAUCUCGGAUCGCUAACUACGAGACACGACUUCGACGAGGAUCAAUCGUACUCAAACGAAGAGACAACGGGAGCUUUGGAUUAUUCUACGGAGAAAUCCGACCUAGACGUUAGGCUUGGAUUGCCGAUAACUGAAAAAGUUGUCCACACAGAUUAUGAUAAUCCGCAAAUUAUUGACGUUUCAUCGACAGAAGAAACUCAAACAUGGGCC
rnacentral:misc_RNA from 1 species